rnacentral:rRNA from 1 species
UGGGGAAUCUUCCGCAAUGGACGAAAGUCUGACGGAGCAACGCCGCGUGAGUGAAGAAGGUUUUCGGAUCGUAAAACUCUGUCUUUUGGGGCGAACGUGAGUAUGGUGAACAAUCAUAGUCAGUGACGGUACCAAAGGAGGAAGCCACGGCUAACUACGUGCCAGCAGCCGCGGUAAUACGUAGGUGGCAAGCGUUGUCCGGAAUUAUUGGGCGUAAAGAGCGCGUAGGCGGGAUAGUCAGUCUGUUGUAAAGUGCGGGGCUCAACCCCGUGAUGGCAAUGGAAACAGCUAUUCUUGAGUGCAGGAGAGGAAAGUGGAAUUCCCAGUGUAGCGGUGAAAUGCGUAGAUAUUGGGAGGAACACCAGUGGCGAAGGCGACUUUCUGGACUGUGUCUGACGCUGAGGCGCGAAAGCCAGGGGGAGCGAACCGGGGAUUAGAUACCCCCGGUAGUCCUGGCCGUAAACGAUGGGUACUAGGUGUGGGAGGUAUCGACCCCCUUCCGUGCCGGAGUUAACGCAAUAAGUACCCCCGCCUGGGGAGUACGGUCGCAAGACCUGAAACUCAAAUGAAUUACGGGGGUCAUAGCUGUUUCCU